ensembl:lncRNA
UAUUAAGUUGGUGCAUUUGUUGAAGUAGAGGUUUCUUAUGGAUAUGUAUUUCUGACAGUGAAGGAGGAAGUGCGUCUCUGUCUUGAUCUCUCCUGUCUGACAGUGAGCACACACUCUCUGCUCUCUGGGUAACCAGCUCUUUCUGUGUCUGCCCGUCUCGAUGGCUAGACUGUGCUCACCGAGCCUGUACUUGCUCAGGAUCCGUCUCUGCUUUGUGUCUCUGACACUAUGGAGAUAAUCUUCCAAUUUAUAAUUUUUUUAUUUUAGAGUUCGAUAGAAUUGUUUUAGUUUCCUGGUCCCAGUGUUCCAGAUAUGUAUUUUUAGACUGUUUGAUAAUUAGAUUUAUUUUGAUGUUUGGGUGAGAAGCAGUGCUAUAGCCUUUGAUUAUUUAAUAUUAUUAUUUCUUCACACAUAUCUUGUUAUUAAAGGCAACACACUCAUGCUAUUCUAUUUACAUUUUAAAUUAUCUAAAUAUAGUGUGGACAAAUAAUGAAUUUGUUUUCCCUUUAGAAAAGUCAUGUUGACUUUCCACAAAUACUCAUUCUACAAUUGAGCCCCUUCCGACAUGACCACCGUCGAGUAAGAAUUCCUGCAAAAACUGAGGUUUACUUCCAACAAUAUGAGCUUUAUGCCAUAAUAAACCUUUAUGGAUCACUGAAAGAUGGACACUAUAAUACUAACAUCAAAUCUGACAAUCAGAACUGGUAUCGAUGUAAUGACAGCCAUGUAUUUCAGAUUCCUGACCUGAUGUUUUCAGAACGUAAGGAUAUAUUGUGGAAGAUUCAAGAGUUUUUUUGGUCUUCAUCUUCAGAUUCAUGCCAUUCACACUCACACAGCUCUGCCUAUCUACUCUUUUACAAAAAGUGUGAAAAAGUGUAAAAGUGUAAAAAGGGAUUGACUGAAUCAGUAAAAAGACACAGAGCAGAAUAUCAUCAUUUAGGGUGAAAAAUGCUAUAUAAGCAGAAUUUAACCAGGCUCAAAGGCUUCCAGUAAAUGACUGUGAAUGUAUUUAUAAAUCUCUCUGCUCAACAGCUGAUGAAUUGAAACAGGUGCGUCACAAACAUAUAUAAGUGUCGUGCUGUUGUCAGGAUUAAGAAGGACUGGUCUGCUUAAUGUAUAUGCUUCGAAGACAAUUUUCAGUUUGAAUAUUGAUGUCAUUUAUUUUCGUGCAUGUAGUAAGACAUAUUUUAUAGGCAUCGUAUUAAUCAAACUAUAUAAUGAUUAAGUGUUAAUAAGAGAAGUCCCAUUAUCUGCUACUAAGUAUGUAGAAUUAUUAUCAAUUACACUGCUGUAAAAGGAUGUAGUUUGGAAUAAUAUGUAUUCAUGUAAAGGAGUAUUCAUUUUUAUUAUAUCAAAAGUUGGUAUUGUGAACGCAUAAGAUGAAAUAUGUCACAUAAAUAUAUUUGUGUUACAUAAAAUAACCGGACACCUACAUUAACUGUCAUCUGUUUAAGGAAAUAUAAGUCCGUAUUAUACCAAUAUACUAAUACUGAUACUGAUAAUGAGUCAUUGUUUUUCUUAAAGUUUAGGAUUAGAUCAAAUACAAGUUGUGGUGGAUGAAUAACAGGAACUUGUUCUUCUGAGCGAUGUUUUGUGAUUCUGUCCAUGAAAUGUCCUAAAGGCAUUUUCUAUUAUCUGUAACUGUCAUUUGAGACACAAGGUGGUGCCAUAUACCUGUUCUUACCUUUGUUAGUAUGAAGCGAAAGAAUGAUAUAAUAAUUAGUAACAGCAG